AGAGUUUGAUCCUGGCUCAGGACGAACGCUGGCGGCGUGCUUAACACAUGCAAGUCGAACGGAAAGGCCCCUUUGGGGGUACUCGAGUGGCGAACGGGUGAGUAACACGUGAGUAACCUGCCCUUGACUUCGGGAUAACUUCAGGAAACUGGGGCUAAUACCGGAUAGGAAUCCUUGCUGCAUGGUGGGGGUUGGAAAGCUUCGGCGGUUUUGGAUGGACUCGCGGCUUAUCAGCUUGUUGGUGGGGUAGUGGCUUACCAAGGCUUUGACGGGUAGCCGGCCUGAGAGGGCGACCGGCCACAUUGGGACUGAAAUACGGCCCAGACUCCUACGGGAGGCAGCAGUGGGGAAUAUUGCACAAUGGGCGGAAGCCUGAUGCAGCAACGCCGCGUGCGGGAUGACGGCCUUCGGGUUGUAAACCGCUUUCAGCAGGGGCGAAGCUUUUGUGACGGUACCUGCAGAAGAAGCACCGGCUAACUACGUGCCAGCAGCCGCGGUGAUACGUAGGGUGCGAGCGUUGUCCGGAUUUAUUGGGCGUAAAAAGCUCGUAGGUGGUUGAUUGCGUCGGAAGUGAAAACUUGGGGCUUAACCCUGAGCGUGCUUUCGAUACGGGUUGACUUGAGGAAGGUAGGGGAGAAUGGAAUUCCUGGUGGAGCGGUGGAAUGCGCAGAUAUCAGGAGGAACACCAGUGGCGAAGGCGGUUCUCUGGACCUUUCCUGACGCUGAGGAGCGAAAGCGUGGGGAGCGAACAGCUUAGAUACCCUGGUAGUCCACGCUGUAAACGGUGGGUACUAGUGUGGGGUCCAUUCCCACGGAUUCCGUGCCGUACUACGCAUUAAGUACCCCGCCUGGGGGAGUACGGCCGCAGGCUAAAACUAA
rnacentral:rRNA from 1 species